CAUCGCCUCCUGCCCACACCACAUAGGAGGUCCCGCCUGCCCAGUGACCAAAAGUUUAACGGCCGCGGUAUUUUAACCGUGCAAAGGUAGCGCAAUCAAUUGUCUUUUAAAUGAAGACCUGUAUGAAUGGCAUAACGAGGGUUUAACUGUCUCUUUCUCCUGGUCAGUGAAACUGAUCUACCCGUGCAGAAGCGGGUAUGAAUAUACAAGACGAGAAGACCCUAUGGAGCUUUAGACGCCCACCAAUCACGAAAAGCAGGUCUCGCUCAACGGACCCCCAAACAACGUGAUACUGGCACAAACGUCUUCGGUUGGGGCGACCGCGGGAGAGAAAAAAGCUCCCGAGAGGAUUGGGGCUACCCUAAAACCAAGAGCUACACCUCUAAGUCACAAAACAUUUGACCAAAAAUGAUCCGGCUACAUGCCGAUUAACGAACCAAGUUACCCUAGGGAUAACAGCGCAAUCCCUUCCCAGAGUCCAUAUCGACGAAGGGGUUUACGACCUCGAUGUUGGAUCAGGACAUCCUAAUGGUGCAGCCGCUAUUAAGGGUUCGUUUGUUCAACGAUUAAAGUCCUACG
rnacentral:rRNA from 1 species